CAUUUAGCCGUAGUUUCUCAGAGAGUCACUGAACCAACAACGAGUUAUGAUAUCUAAUCAAAUUAAUGAUAGUUAGGUGAGGUUUAAAUAUUUUUUUUCAACCGUGGAAAGAGAAUGAGUGGAGAUAGCUUGCGCUGAGAAUCCGUGUGUAAAGGUAGACGCACUUUUCGGACGCACAACAGAAUAGUCGUUUCUACUGACUCCACAAGAGAUCAACCAUGGAUUCUGACAUCAACACAGACUAAAGUUCGUUCUUGAAGAGGUCCGAGCCGCUCCAGUCCAGCCCGAAUAGUGCAGGUGGAAGAUGGCAGAGAGAGUGACUUGGUGGAGGUCAUUCAUGGGGGGCAGUAAGAGGACAAACAGUACCACGAACAGCACCACAGACACAGUGAAGGACCCUCUGACGCCCCUGGCUACACCACACUCAGCAGCCCCCAAAACCCCCAACUGACCAACAACUAUCACCAGCAUCACAACAACCACCAGCAUCACAACAGCCACCAGCAUCACAACAACCACCAGCAUCACAACAGCCACAGGCAGAGCAGUCACAGGCACCAGUCAGUACAGACACCAGUCUCUUCAGCGACGAGA